rnacentral:misc_RNA from 1 species
UCUUCUUCUUCUUCUUCUUCAUUAGAAACAACAAGUAGUACACUUUAUUCUCAAACCUCAUCGAAUUCGGAAUCUUUAGAAUCAUUAACCUCUGAGAUCAAACUUGAAAGCAAUUUCUCUGUUUAUCCUGAUUUCAUCAAUACACCUCAAAGUUCAAAUCUUGAAUCUGUCUCUCGUUUUUUCGAUAACUCAACUAUUGAAUUCCAAGCUAAACCCCAAAAGAAAAGAAGUUUCAAUGAUCGAAAACCUUCGUUAAACAUUUCGAUUCCUUCUGUUAAGAAAACAGAGGAACCAAAAACAGGGGAAGUAAAAACAGGGGAACCAAAAACAGAGGAGCCAAAAACAGGGGAAGUGAAAACAGAGUACUCUGUUAAGGAGAAAAUGGUAGAAAAUUCGGAGAAAAAGCGAUACAGAGGAGUGAGACAAAGGCCAUGGGGGAAAUUUGCAGCGGAGAUUCGUGACCCAACUAGAAAGGGGACACGAGUUUGGUUAGGAACAUUCGAUACUGCAAUGGAUGCAGCCAUGGCAUAUGACAGAGCAGCAUUUAGGCUCAGAGGGAGUAAAGCAAUCUUGAAUUUUCCACUUGAGGUAAGCAAUUUCAAGCAAGAAAAUCAUGAGAUUGAGAAAAAUGUUGUGAAUUUGAAUUCGAAUACGAAUUCUUGUGGGAAAAGGGUGAGAGGGGAAAUGGAGAAUGAUGACGGAAUUGUAAUGAAGAAAGAGGUGAAAAGAGAACAAAUGGUGGCAACUCCAUUAACACCUUCAAAUUGGUCUUCAAUUUGGGAUUGUGGAAAUGGAAAAGGUAUUUUUGAAGUGCCACCUUUGUCACCAUUAUCACCACAUUCAAAUUUUGGUUAUUCUCAACUUUUGGUAUCAUAGUGAAAUCCCCAAAAGAAUCCACUUGAGUAUGUUAUGGAAUAUUAUAUAGCGGAACUAUACUGCCAUCACGAUCCACUGAGAUUUAGUCUUUUGUUAUGUUGAGAGUUUCUAAAAUGUUAUGGCAGAACUAUAUUACUGUCACAAUCCACUGAGAUUUAGACCUUUAUUGUGUCGAUCCACUGAAAUUUAGUCGAGAGUUUCUAAAAUGAAAUAUUUUGAACAAGUAUGAAGUGAUUUCAAGUUGUAAUAAGGAAUUUACCUCUUGGAAAUUUUGGAUAAAAAUAGCACAUGUACAAAUGAAGAAACAUGGAAUGAUGGAGGGAGAAUGGAAGUGUUUUGAAUCAUGGAUAUUUUUAAUUAUUUUUUGAUUUCAUUGAUUAAGCUUUUUUUUUUCCAUGUAAAUAUGAAUUUUAAUUUGGUUGGUUUAUUUUGAAGGAAAA